AUGGUGCAAGCGUUAUCCGGAUUUACUGGGUGUAAAGGGAGCGUAGACGGAUGGGCAAGUCUGAUGUGAAAACCCAGGGCUCAACCCCGGGACUGCAUUGGAAACUGUUCAUCUAGAGUGCUGGAGAGGUAAGUGGAAUUCCUAGUGUAGCGGUGAAAUGCGUAGAUAUUAGGAGGAACACCAGUGGCGAAGGCGGCUUACUGGACAGUAACUGACGUUGAGGCUCGAAAGCGUGGGGAGCAAA
rnacentral:rRNA from 1 species